GACGUAGGGCGCGAGCGUUGUCCGGAUUUAUUGGGCGUAAAGAGCUCGUAGGCGGCUCGUUGCGUCGGCUGUGAAAACCCACAGCUUAACUCCGGGCCUGCAGUGGGUACGGGCAGACUAGAGUGCGGUAGGGGGAGACUGGAAUUCCUGGUGUAGCGGUGAAAUGCGCAGAUAUCAGGAGGAACACCGAUGGCGAAGGCAGGUCUCUGGGCCAUAACUGACGCUGAGAAGCGAAAAGCAUGGGGGAGCGAACAGG
rnacentral:rRNA from 1 species